UGAUAAUCAAAAUGAAACAGCUGAUCGAGCCAUUGACAUCCUUUAUGCCAUUUUCACGGUACUUGUAGAGACUGGCAGGAAGCAAUUUCUUAACAAGCACGCCAAGGAAUUGUUUGGCAGCCUUCUAUCGCUUAUGCCUCCGGAAGUUGACAAUGGGCCGUCCCCGACUGGUGAUUUGAUAAAAUGGCUGGUAAAGAACAUUGAUCGAGAACAUGCUGGUCCCCUCCUCGUGAAAUGCCUGGACAGCUUUGAGGAGUGUCCAGCUGCCGUAUCCAAGCUGAUGGUGUUCUUUAUGGAAACUUUUAAGAGAAAUAUCAA